CCGGAAUACGCGGCCGAAGACCAGCGGCGCCGCCGCGCCCCCUCUCGGUUUUUGCCUCCGACGAGGCCCUUCCCGGCCUCCGUUUGAUGCAAUUUUUAUAUCACCGUGAUCACCAUUCUUUUCUCUACAGGUUGACCGGAGCUGAAUCACCAAAACACGAACCUCGCCGGAGAGCCGCCGCACCCGAGAGCGCCGCCGCCGGUAAGCUCCGUUUUUCCGUGAUUUUUU
rnacentral:lncRNA from 1 species